ACUCCUACGGGAGGCAGCAGUGGGGAAUUUUGCGCAAUGGGCGAAAACCUGACGCAGCAACGCCGCGUGAGUGAUGAAGGCCUUUGGGUCGUAAAGCUCUGUCAGAGGGAACGAAGUGUGGGCGGCUAAUACCUGACCCAUUUGACGGUACCCUCAAAGGAAGCACCGGCUAACUCCGUGCCAGCAGCCGCGGUAAUACGGAGGGUGCAAGCGUUGUUCGGAUUUAUUGGGCGUAAAGGGCGUGUAGGCGGUUUCAUAAGUCUGAUGUGAAAGCCCCGGGCUCAACCUGGGAAGUGCAUUGGAAACUGUGAGACUUGAGUACGGGAGAGGGCAGUGGAAUUCCCAGUGUAGGAGUGAAAUCCGUAGAUAUUGGGAGGAACACCGGUGGCGAAGGCGGCUGCCUGGACCGAUACUGACGCUGAGACGCGAAAGCGUGGGGAGCAAACAGGAUUAGAUACCCUGGUGGUCCACGCCGUAAACGAUGAGAACUAGGUGUUGCGGGUA
rnacentral:rRNA from 1 species